UGGCUCUGGAGAAUGCCCCAAUGGGCUGCCGAAGGUGCAACGCGGAAAACUUCCCGCGAAAUCUCUCAGGCAAAAGGACAGAGUGGAAA
rnacentral:ncRNA from 1 species